AUUGAACGCUGGCGGCAGGCCUAACACAUGCAAGUCGAGCGGAUGAAGGGAGCUUGCUCCUGGAUUCAGCGGCGGACGGGUGAGUAAUGCCUAGGAAUCUGCCUGGUAGUGGGGGAUAACGUCCGGAAACGGGCGCUAAUACCGCAUACGUCCUGAGGGAGAAAGUGGGGGAUCUUCGGACCUCACGCUAUCAGAUGAGCCUAGGUCGGAUUAGCUAGUUGGUGGGGUAAAGGCCUACCAAGGCGACGAUCCGUAACUGGUCUGAGAGGAUGAUCAGUCACACUGGAACUGAGGCACGGUCCAGACUCCUACGGGAGGCAGCAGUGGGGAAUAUUGGACAAUGGGCGAAAGCCUGAUCCAGCCAUGCCGCGUGUGUGAAGAAGGUCUUCGGAUUGCAAAGCACUUUAAGUUGGGAGGAAGGGCAGUAAGUUAAUACCUUGCUGUUUUGACGUUACCAACAGAAUAAGCACCGGCUAACUUCGUG
rnacentral:rRNA from 1 species